GACGAACGCUGGCGGCGUGCUUAACACAUGCAAGUCGAACGGAAAGGCCCUGCUUUUGUGGGGUGCUCGAGUGGCGAACGGGUGAGUAACACGUGAGUAACCUGCCCUUGACUUUGGGAUAACUUCAGGAAACUGGGGCUAAUACCGGAUAGGAGCUCCUGCUGCAUGGUGGGGGUUGGAAAGUUUCGGUGGUUGGGGAUGGAAUCGCGGCUUAUCAGCUUGUUGGUGGGGUAGUGGCUUACCAAGGCUUUGACGGGUAGCCGGCCUGGGAGGGUGACCGGCCACAUUGGGACUGGGAUAAGGCCCAGACUCCUACGGGAGGCAGCAGUGGAGAAUAUUGCACAAUGGGCGGAAGCCUGAUGCAGCAACGCCGCGUGCGGGAUGACGGCCAUCGGGUUGUAAACCGCUUUCGCCUGUGACGAAGCGUGAGUGACGGUAAUGGGUAAAGAAGCACCGGCUAACUACGUG
rnacentral:rRNA from 1 species